UACGAAGGAGGCUAGCGUUGCUCGGAAUUACUGGGCGUAAAGCGUGCGCAGGCGGCGCGUUAAGACAGGUGUGAAAGCCCCGAGCUUAACCUGGGAACUGCGUCUGAUACUGGACGGCUUGAGUUUGGGAGAGGGAUGCAGAAUUCCAGGUGUAGCGGUGAAAUGCGUAGAUAUCUGGAGGAAUACCGGUGGCGAAGGCGGCAUCCUGGACCAACACUGACGCUGAUGCGCGAAAGCUAGGGGAGCAAACGGG
rnacentral:rRNA from 1 species